GCCCCUGUAGCUCAAUGGAUAGAGCAACUGCCUUCUAAGCAGUAGGUCACGGGUUCGAGUCCUGUCGGGGGCGCCA
rnacentral:tRNA from 1 species